CAAAGGUUUGGUCCUAGCCUUCCUAUUGAUUAUUAACAGAAUUACACAUGCAAGUCUCUACACCCCAGUGAGAAUGCCCUCUAAAUCUAUAUGUUGAUUAAAAGGAGCGGGUAUCAAGCACACUAAAUUAGUAGCUCAUAACGCCUUGCUCAACCACACCCCCACGGGAUACAGCAGUGAUAAAAAUUAAGCCAUAAACGAAAGUUUGACUAAGCCAUGUUAACAAAGAGCUGGUAAAUUUCGUGCCAGCCACCGCGGUCAUACGAUUAGCCCGAAUCAAUAGGCAAACGGCGUAAAACGUGUUAAGGAUUAUAUUAUACUAAAGUUAAAAUUUAACAAGGCUGUAAAAAGCUACUGUUAAUAUAAGAUAAACCACGAAAGUGACUUUAUUACUUCCAUCAACACGAUAGCUGAGACCCAAACUGGGAUUAGAUACCCC
rnacentral:rRNA from 1 species